AUGUUAGGUCGUUGCAUUUUCUUAAGGACAAGAAAACUAACCAAGGACCUUGCCCGUGGUACGCCCGUGAACGUCCGUGGUACGCCCGUGAAUGUCUGUGGUUCGCCCGUGAACGUCCGUGGUAUGCCCGUGGUACGUCCAUGGUAUGUCCGUGGUACAUCCGCGGUAUGCCUGUCGUACGUCCGCGGUAUGCAUGUGGUACGUCUGCGGUAUGCAUGUGGUACGUCUGCGGUAUGCCCGUGGUACGUCUGUGGUAUGCCCGUAAAUGACCGUGAACAAAGUGUGAGCGUCCUGCGGCGACGUGAGCUAGGGUGA